rnacentral:rRNA from 1 species
GUUUGUGGUCAGAUCACCCUGAAUGUGCCUGAUCUCAUCUGAUCUCGGGAGCUAAGCAGGGUUGGGCCUUGUUAGUACUUGGAUGGAAGAAAAUAAAUUUAAAUU